GACAGAUAUUUAUUAACCAUUAUUAUUUAUUCAACCUCACAGAGGUGUAAAUUAUACAUACAAAUACAUUAGAAAGGUACCCUCUUACAGAAUGUUUCACAUUUUGAUUUUGUUCUAUGAGGGUUGCAAAUAUUUCCAUACAUUCUACAAACCAAAGAUUGCUUUUGCUUUGAUUCAUUACA